UACAGAGGGUGCGAGCGUUGUCCGGCAUUACUGGGCGUAAAGGGCGCGUAGGCGGCCCGAUAAGUAGGACGUGAAAUUCCGCGGCUCACCCGCGGAACUGCGUUCUAGACUGUCGGGCUUGAGCACGGUAGAGGCAGAUGGAAGUCCCGGUGUAGCGGUGGAAUGCGUAGAGAUCGGGAAGAACACCAGUGGCGAAGGCGGUCUGCUGGGCCGUUGCUGACGCUGAGGCGCGACAGCGUGGGGAGCAAACAGG
rnacentral:rRNA from 1 species